rnacentral:rRNA from 1 species
UACGGAGGGGGCAAGCGUUAUUCGGAAUUAUUGGGCGUAAAGGGCGCGUAGGCGGCUAGAUGUGUCAAAGGUGAAAUCCCUCGGCUCAACUGAGGAACUGCCUUUGAAACUGUCUGGCUUGAGGCCGGGAGAGGGUAGCGGAAUUCCCAGUGUAGCGGUGAAAUGCGUAGAUAUUGGGAGGAACACCAGUGGCGAAGGCGGCUCACUGGACCGGUUCUGACGCUGAGGCGCGAAAGCGUGGGGAGCAAACGGG